GUGCAGAUGGCAGCGCCAUUUUCAGAGCUAUAAACAGCGUCAUUGUCAUAGCUCUUUGAAUGGUACUGCCAUAUGUAC
rnacentral:pre_miRNA from 7 species